rnacentral:rRNA from 1 species
GGGUUGUGAGGUUAAGCGACUAAGCGUACACGGUGGAUGCCCUGGCAGUCAGAGGCGAUGAAGGACGUGCUAAUCUGCGAUAAGCGUCGGUAAGGUGAUAUGAACCGUUAUAACCGGCGAUUUCCGAAUGGGGAAACCCAGUGUGUUUCGACACACUAUCAUUAACUGAAUCCAUAGGUUAAUGAGGCGAACCGGGGGAACUGAAACAUCUAAGUACCCCGAGGAAAAGAAAUCAACCGAGAUUCCCCCAGUAGCGGCGAGCGAACGGGGAGGAGCCCAGAGUCUGAAUCAGUGUGUGUGUUAGUGGAAGCGUCUGGAAAGGCGCGCGAUACAGGGUGACAGCCCCGUACACAAAAAUGCACAUACUGUGAGCUCGAUGAGUAGGGCGGGACACGUGGUAUCCUGUCUGAAUAUGGGGGGACCAUCCUCCAAGGCUAAAUACUCCUGACUGACCGAUAGUGAACCAGUACCGUGAGGGAAAGGCGAAAAGAACCCCGGCGAGGGGAGUGAAAAAGAACCUGAAACCGUGUACGUACAAGCAGUGGGAGCACGCUUAGGCGUGUGACUGCGUACCUUUUGUAUAAUGGGUCAGCGACUUAUAUUCUGUAGCAAGGUUAACCGAAUAGGGGAGCCGAAGGGAAACCGAGUCUUAACUGGGCGUUAAGUUGCAGGGUAUAGACCCGAAACCCGGUGAUCUAGCCAUGGGCAGGUUGAAGGUUGGGUAACACUAACUGGAGGACCGAACCGACUAAUGUUGAAAAAUUAGCGGAUGACUUGUGGCUGGGGGUGAAAGGCCAAUCAAACCGGGAGAUAGCUGGUUCUCCCCGAAAGCUAUUUAGGUAGCGCCUCGUGAAUUCAUCUCCGGGGGUAGAGCACUGUUUCGGCAAGGGGGUCAUCCCGACUUACCAACCCGAUGCAAACUGCGAAUACCGGAGAAUGUUAUCACGGGAGACACACGGCGGGUGCUAACGUCCGUCGUGAAGAGGGAAACAACCCAGACCGCCAGCUAAGGUCCCAAAGUCAUGGUUAAGUGGGAAACGAUGUGGGAAGGCCCAGACAGCCAGGAUGUUGGCUUAGAAGCAGCCAUCAUUUAAAGAAAGCGUAAUAGCUCACUGGUCGAGUCGGCCUGCGCGGAAGAUGUAACGGGGCUAAACCAUGCACCGAAGCUGCGGCAGCGACGCUUAUGCGUUGUUGGGUAGGGGAGCGUUCUGUAAGCCUGUGAAGGUGUGCUGUGAGGCAUGCUGGAGGUAUCAGAAGUGCGAAUGCUGACAUAAGUAACGAUAAAGCGGGUGAAAAGCCCGCUCGCCGGAAGACCAAGGGUUCCUGUCCAACGUUAAUCGGGGCAGGGUGAGUCGACCCCUAAGGCGAGGCCGAAAGGCGUAGUCGAUGGGAAACAGGUUAAUAUUCCUGUACUUGGUGUUACUGCGAAGGGGGGACGGAGAAGGCUAUGUUGGCCGGGCGACGGUUGUCCCGGUUUAAGCGUGUAGGCUGGUUUUCCAGGCAAAUCCGGAAAAUCAAGGCUGAGGCGUGAUGACGAGGCACUACGGUGCUGAAGCAACAAAUGCCCUGCUUCCAGGAAAAGCCUCUAAGCAUCAGGUAACAUCAAAUCGUACCCCAAACCGACACAGGUGGUCAGGUAGAGAAUACCAAGGCGCUUGAGAGAACUCGGGUGAAGGAACUAGGCAAAAUGGUGCCGUAACUUCGGGAGAAGGCACGCUGAUAUGUAGGUGAAGUCCCUUGCGGAUGGAGCUGAAAUCAGUCGAAGAUACCAGCUGGCUGCAACUGUUUAUUAAAAACACAGCACUGUGCAAACACGAAAGUGGACGUAUACGGUGUGACGCCUGCCCGGUGCCGGAAGGUUAAUUGAUGGGGUCAGCGCAAGCGAAGCUCUUGAUCGAAGCCCCGGUAAACGGCGGCCGUAACUAUAACGGUCCUAAGGUAGCGAAAUUCCUUGUCGGGUAAGUUCCGACCUGCACGAAUGGCGUAAUGAUGGCCAGGCUGUCUCCACCCGAGACUCAGUGAAAUUGAACUCGCUGUGAAGAUGCAGUGUACCCGCGGCAAGACGGAAAGACCCCGUGAACCUUUACUAUAGCUUGACACUGAACAUUGAGCCUUGAUGUGUAGGAUAGGUGGGAGGCUUUGAAGUGUGGACGCCAGUCUGCAUGGAGCCGACCUUGAAAUACCACCCUUUAAUGUUUGAUGUUCUAACGUUGACCCGUAAUCCGGGUUGCGGACAGUGUCUGGUGGGUAGUUUGACUGGGGCGGUCUCCUCCUAAAGAGUAACGGAGGAGCACGAAGGUUGGCUAAUCCUGGUCGGACAUCAGGAGGUUAGUGCAAUGGCAUAAGCCAGCUUGACUGCGAGCGUGACGGCGCGAGCAGGUGCGAAAGCAGGUCAUAGUGAUCCGGUGGUUCUGAAUGGAAGGGCCAUCGCUCAACGGAUAAAAGGUACUCCGGGGAUAACAGGCUGAUACCGCCCAAGAGUUCAUAUCGACGGCGGUGUUUGGCACCUCGAUGUCGGCUCAUCACAUCCUGGGGCUGAAGUAGGUCCCAAGGGUAUGGCUGUUCGCCAUUUAAAGUGGUACGCGAGCUGGGUUUAGAACGUCGUGAGACAGUUCGGUCCCUAUCUGCCGUGGGCGCUGGAGAACUGAGGGGGGCUGCUCCUAGUACGAGAGGACCGGAGUGGACGCAUCACUGGUGUUCGGGUUGUCAUGCCAAUGGCACUGCCCGGUAGCUAAAUGCGGAAGAGAUAAGUGCUGAAAGCAUCUAAGCACGAAACUUGCCCCGAGAUGAGUUCUCCCUGACCCUUUAAGGGUCCUGAAGGAACGUUGAAGACGACGACGUUGAUAGGCCGGGUGUGUAAGCGCAGCGAUGCGUUGAGCUAACCGGUACUAAUGAACCGUGAGGCUUAACCUUACAACGCCGAAG